CCUGGGGAGAGGAGGGGACCAGGGCUGUGAAUUACCUUCCCUUCCCCACCCUCUCCUGCAGC
rnacentral:miRNA from 1 species